AACUGAUGUAAAGAUAUUUAUUGUCAAAAUAUAUUCACCAUACAUGUAAGAAAGAAUGUACAGUAUAAUCCCAAUAUUACUUUCAUUAUUAUUUUUAUCUUUCGAGGCAGAGUCUCUGUCACCAAGGCCGGAGUGCAGUGGUGUGGCCUCGGCUCACUGAAGCCUCUGCCUCUCAGGUUCAGGUGAUUCUCCUGCCUCAGCCUCCCGGGUAGCUGGGAUUACAGGCCUGUGCAACCAUACCUGGCUAAUUCUAUUUUUUUUUUUCAAGUUUAGAAUUCCUGGUUUAUUGGGAAAACUUCAUAAUGAAAACUUCAAUUGCCCUUUUCCAUGACUUACAAAAUAAUAAUGUGAUAUUUAAAAUGAAUUGUUUUUCAUUAUGUAAGUGGAAAUGGUAAAAAAUAGUAAUAACCCAUUUGAUGCAUCAUAUAUAUGCUAUUCAGGGAAACUCAAAUCCCUGAAUUCUCCUGUGGCAUGUUUUACAUCAGACAUUUUAAAUCUGUUUACCAAGAAAGACCAGGAUUUUAACUAUAUGUAGGUUUCUACUUACAGUUGCAAUCUAUCAGAAGCCUGUCUAUAUGAUUAGAGCCCAGAUACAUCUGAAGUUUAGAAAAGCAAGCCAUUUUUCUCCUUAGGCUGUUUUAGUGGCACUUUUGUGACAGGAAGGGCUCUCCUAAUCCUUUAGUACACAACUUAACCAGAUCUAUCAGUCAUGAUAAAUUAGACUGAUAUAUCUAAUCUAUCAGUCCAUCUUUCAAUCCAGUUACUCUGGUUCUGAACCUAUAAACACAAAACACUACAGAUUUAUUAAUAUAGCAUUUUCCAACACCCUAACCCUAUACAGAACUUUAAAAGAGAAAAUUUCAUCUAAAUAUUUCACACCUAAGAAAGCCUUACUAACCACGGCAACAGGUUUGGACCACAAAACAAUACUUUCUUAGAUGAUAUAUAGAGUCAACAUGAAGCUUAGCAAGAAUGAAUUAUUCAGGGCUGGGCGCGGUAUUAUUCUUUCGUGCUUGUCUUAAAGUUGUACAUAUGCUUAGAAAAAUGUUGGUAGGAUAGUAACUCUUCACUGGUGGGAUCAGGGAUGACUUUUGUUUUCAUUUUGCUUGUCUUUUUCUUUAAUGAGUAUGUAUUACUUGUGUAAUAGAUGAAGUAAAGCAGGAAGAAGGGUAGACAUGGUAUUUGAGAUACAGCAUUGGAGGUGUUUGUUUGUUUGAGAUGGAGUCUCACUGUCACCCAAGGUGAAGUGCAGUGGCACAAUCUCGGCUCACUGCAACCUCUGCCUCCCGGGUUCAAGCAAUUCUCCUGCCUCAGCCUUCCCAGUAGCUGGGAUUACAGGCAUCUGCCACCACACCCAGAUAAUUUUUGUAUUUUUAGUAGAGAUGGGGUUUUGCCAUGUUGGCCAGGCUGGUCUGAAACUCCUGACCUCAGGUGAUCCGCCUGCCUCACGUGGUGGCUCACGUUGUAAUCUCAGCAUUUUGGGAGGCCGAAGCAGGCAGAUCACCUGAGCACAGGAGUUCGAGACCAGCCUGGCCAAGAUAGUGAAAUCCUAUCUCUACUAAAAAUAAAAGAUUAGCUGGGUGUGGUGGUGCAUGCCUGUAGUCCCAGCUACUCGGGAGGCUAAGGAAUGAGAAUAGUUUGAACCCAGGAGGCAGAGAUUGCAGUGAGCUGAGAUUGAGCCACUGCACUCCAGCAUGGAUGACAGAGCAAGACCCUGUCUCAAAAGAAAUAAAGGUCAGGCGUGUUGGCUCACGCCUAUAAUCCCAGCACUUUGGGAGGCCAAGGCAGGUAGAUAACUUGAGGUCAGGAGUUUGAGACCAGCUUGGCCAACAUGGUGAAAUCCUGUCUCUACUAAAAAUAUAAAAAAAAUUAGCUGGGCAUGGUGGUGCCCGCCUGUAGUUCCAGCUACUCGGGAGGCUGAAGAAUGAGAACCGCUUGAACCUGGGAGGCAGAGGUUGCAGUGAGGCAAGAUUGAGCCACUGUACUCCAGUGUGGACGACAAGAGUGAGACCCUGUCUCAAAAGAAAAAUAAAGGCCAGGCGUGGUGGCUCACACCUGUAAUCCUAGCACUGUAGGAGGCCGAGACAGGCAGAUCACUUGAGGUCAGAGUUUGAGACCAGCCUGGCCAACAUGGUGAAACCCCAUCUCUACUAAAAACACAAAAAUUAGCUGGGCACAGUGGCAGACGCCUGUAAUCCCAGCUACUCGGGAGGUUGAAGCAGGAGAAUCAGUUGAACCUGGGAGGCGGAGGUUGCAGUGAGCUGAGAUUGUGCCACUGUACUCCAGCCUGGGCGACAGAGCGAGAGUCCGUGUCAAAAAUAAAUUAAAAAACAAAGUUUUAAGAACAGCCUUUAGGUUUCUAUAGCCCACUGCGAAAAGGGUAUGGCAUGAUCAGAUAUUUGCAGGAGUGAGAAAUGCAAAUUUAAACAAUCAAACAGCAUCUAACACAUCUUUAACAAUUAAAUACCAUAAAUAUAACAAAACCAUAAAAAUACUGAUAAGCUUCUACUAUGAACUACAUGAUAGUGACAGGGCAGUGACAGCAAAGGUCCUAUCUGCCCACUGUUGUAUUACCAGCAUCUGGAUCGUAGAAUUUUGCUUGGCAUGUGACAGGGCUUUGUCAUUUAUACUGAGAACAGAUCCUCAAGUUAUCAAUAAUAAUUGAUAAAAGCAACAGUAAUCAGUAUUUUAAUUGCUGUAAUUGGACAUUUGAAAUAGCAGUAAGAUUCUACAGAGUGGCAAUGACUGAGUUGGAAUGUAGGUGUUUCCAUUAAUGUCCUACAUAUAUUUAAAUUCGGAGUAGCCAUUUUUCCUGGUAAAUUGUGAAAGCAGGACAUGGUUCUCCAAGGUUCACAGGUAAACCAUCCCACCAGAGCACUAAUGAGCAGACUGCUACAUUUUAC
rnacentral:lncRNA from 10 species